rnacentral:lncRNA from 1 species
CCCAAGCAAGGCAAAGGCAGAGGAGGUCCCGGCAAACAAGAAACUGCAACUGUGAUGCCACCCCUCCACCCCCACCCCCACCACAACCUGCCUUCCAAGCCGUCGUCUUUAUCUGCGCCGCCUCCUCCGCAGUGGGGCGCGGGGGGGCACCCACAGCGGCACUCUUCUCCCCCUCCUGCAGCGGCGGCGGCGGCGGCUGCUGCCCGUCGCCGUCGCCGUCGCCGUCCUUGUUCUGGUCCUGAGGCCGGGCCCGGAGGGGGAAGGCGACCCCUGGCGAGUGAACUAGAUAACAGAGAAUAGACGGAUAGUCCAGGAGGGGGGAGGGGGGUACAGGCAUAGCACUGCCGCUGCUGACACCCCCUGCCGCAGGAACCAGCUGCGAGCGGUGUGCGAGUGUACGGAUUGGUACUGUUCAGGGACGGAAAGCUGGUCUCUGGCCAAUGCCGUACUUAGGUCAUGGCCGUCAUGGGGCGUCAUGGGGGCAGUACGGCGCAGAGACCGUCGUACAUGACACAUACACACACACGGCACUCGGUACACGAGCCAGAAUCCCCGUCUUCCAGCCCCCAGCUCCUGUUCCCUCUCCCACCACCGACUUGCCGUACCCUUUCCAAGAUGAAGUCCAUUCGCCUACGAGCGGUCCGACUGGUGCGGGUGGGGGGGG